AACGCGAAGAACCUUACCAGGUCUUGACAUCCCCCUGACCGGUCCGUAACGGGACCCUUCCUACGGGACAGGGGAGACAGGUGGUGCAUGGUUGUCGUCAGCUCGUGUCGUGAGAUGUUGGGUUAAGUCCCGCAACGAGCGCAACCCUUAUCUUCAGUAGCCAGCAUUUCGGGUGGGCACUCUGGAGAGACUGCCAGGGAUAACCUGGAGGAAGGCGGGGAUGACGUCAAAUCAUCAUGCCCCUUAUGAUCUGGGCUACACACGUGCUACAAUGGUGACAACAAAGGGAGGCAGCCUCGUGAGAGUGAGCAAAUCCCAAAAAAGUCAUCUCAGUUCGGAUUGUAAUCUGCAACUCGACUACAUGAAGCUGGAAUCGCUAGUAAUCGCAAAUCAGAAUGUUGCGGUGAAUACGUUCCCGGGUCUUGUACACACCG
rnacentral:rRNA from 1 species